CAUCUGGCAUGCAAGCCACAAUGCAGUUGCCUGAAACAUGCAACCAAAGAGGACUCUACAAGAAAGAGCCAGAAUCCCAGCUCCCAAACGUGGCAGAGAAUUGAAAACAGUGGAGUGCUUAAAAAAACAUGGGUCUGGAACUACACCCCUAUUCUGCCACUUUCGAUCUCUGGAGUUCACAUGCAGGAAAGAGGGACGAGGGUCAGAACUGAAACUCUGGAGGAAUGUCCCAGCAGCUGACUACGGGUGCAGUCCUGAGAAGUACAUCUCCACUGUUUCAGGGUCUUCAGAAGCAGGGAUGUGUUUUCCUUUCACUUCAAUGGACCUUUCGACAGCUUCUGAGUUUUCUAUUCCUUCUCACUUAAAGGCUGGAUUACAGUCGACCUGAUCAGGGGGCAAAAUGAUGGUGGUCCAUAUUCUGAUGCUGAAGCUAAAGCUCCAAUACUUUGGCCACCUGCUGAGAAGAGCUGACUCAUUGGAAAAGGCCCUGAUACUGGGAAAGAUUGAAGGCAAAAGGAAAAGGUGGCAGAAGAUGAGAUGGUUAAAAAGCAUCACCGACUCAAUGGACAUGAAUUUGAGCAAACUUCGGGAGAUAGUGAAGGACAGGGAAGCCUGGCAUGCUGCAGUCAAUGGGGUAUCAAAAAUCGGACACGACUGAGUGACUGAACAACAAUACUCUGAUAAGUCCUUGACCUCACUGAGCUCAUGGUUGCUCAGGCAAUUCACAUAAGCACCCAGGUAACUCCCAUAUAGUAGGAUAUUGGAGAGGACAAUCCAACAGUUCAUUAAGACACAGGGUGGGUGUGGGAAAGACUUCCUUGUGGAAAGGAUACCUAAGCUGUAAAGUUAAUGAAGGUAGGGAUCUUCUGAUCACUGUAGACCUGUGAUGUCCAAGGGAAAUCUCUGCAGGGAUGGAAUAAUCAAUAACAGCACCAUCCAAGAUGGUGGCCACUAGCCACAUAUGAUGAUUGAGUGCCUAAAAUGUGCCAAGUGCAAGCUACAUUUUUAAUGCUAUUUCAUUUUAAUUUUUUUUAGUUUCAAUUUCAAUAGCCACUUCAGGUUAGUAGCUAAUGUACGAGGUAGCGCAGCUCUAGACAGAGAGAAAAACUCAUGUGAAGAUGCAGAGGUGAGGGAGUUCUUAUACUUUUAAGACCUGAUAUUUUGAAGAGAAGAUUUAUGAAGGACGAGAGUUUCAGAAAUUAACAGAGGCAAUUCACAACUUACUAAAAAGUUCAGGCUUUCACCGAGGGCCAUGGAAAAGCCAUUGAAUGACAGUAAGGAAAGAGAUGUGAUCAGAUUGGCAUUUUAGUAAAACCACUUCAACUGCUGUUAUAAAAAUAUCUAGAACUAUUAGCAUUUUAUAUUAACAAACUUUUCUGAUACCUCAACCUCAUUUACCCUUCCAAUCAACUAUAUGAGAUAGAUUUAUAACACAUCUCCCAUCAUACAGCUUUACAUACCUGUCUUCAGCUUAGCAAUUUAUGUUCAUACCAUGACACACUCCCAGAAGACAGAGUUGACAAAAGUAAAACAUUCGCCUGAUAUUUGUGCACAAAUUCAGGCAUAAGGAUUUUUGAUGAAUCAAUUUGGAAAUGGCACCAGGUUAAAGUAGAGUGUGUUCAUCACUCAGUCAAGUCUGACUCUUUGCAACCCCAUGGACUAUAGCCCACCAGGCUCCUCUGUCCACGGAAUUCUCCAGGCCAGAAUACUAGAGGGGGUUGCUAUUUCCUCUUCCGGGGAUCUUCUGAUCCAGGGAUCAAACCCUGGUCUCCUGCAUUGCAAGCAGAUUUUUUACCCUCUAAGCCACCUGGGAAGCACCAGACUACUUCAAAGAAAUGUUGAAGAUUUUUUUCCUAUAAUGUGACCUGAUUUGGAGGUGUAAAUCUGUCUGGCUGUGACCUGCGGGCUGCCCACCAUCCUAGCACGUGUGUGAUCUCCUCCGGCUGUUGGUGGUGAGAGGGAUGAACUUGCCUGUGCACACAGGAGCCGUGAUGAUGCUGGAGCAGACUCGCCCUGCUUCACGAGCAUUUCCUUUCCCUCACAUGUGCAUCUCCAUCUUCUCCUCCCAGACUAGUUGAAAAGAGAACCCAGCCUAGACAAGGCUGGCCACGGCCAUAUGCCGCCAGGCCACGGUUGCUGACCUGACUCUCCAUGUCAGGUCUGCAAAAAUAAAAGAUGGCACCUUUCCA
ensembl:lncRNA